UUCCAUGUAUUGUAAUGGUUUAGCAUUCCAUAUUUUAUCUCUGGUGAUGCGGGUUCAAUCCCCGGCAUGGAAG